rnacentral:rRNA from 1 species
UACGAGGGGUGCGAGCGUUAUUCGGAAUCACUGGGCGUAAAGGGUGCGUAGGCGGGUCUUUAAGUCAGGGGUGAAAUCCUGGAGCUCAACUCCAGAACUGCCUUUGAUACUGAAGAUCUUGAGUUCGGGAGAGGUGAGUGGAACUGCGAGUGUAGAGGUGAAAUUCGUAGAUAUUCGCAAGAACACCAGUGGCGAAGGCGGCUCACUGGCCCGAUACUGACGCUGAGGCACGAAAGCGUGGGGAGCAAACAGGG